ensembl:ncRNA W02C12.4 ncRNA
UACAGCGGACGAGAAGAAUGAGCGAGAGAGAGAGAGGGGAGACGCCUACAACGAGAGACCCCUUUCUCUGG